GAUGAACGCUGGCGGCGUGCUUAACACAUGCAAGUCGAGCGAAGCACCUUGACGGAUUUUUUCGGAUUGAAGCCUUGGUGACUGAGCGGCGGACGGGUGAGUAACGCGUGGGUAACCUGCCUCAUACAGGGGGAUAACAGUUGGAAACGGCUGCUAAUACCGCAUAAGCGCACAGUACCGCAUGGUACGGUGUGAAAAACUCCGGUGGUAUGAGAUGGACCCGCGUCUGAUUAGGUAGUUGGUGGGGUAACGGCCUACCAAGCCGACGAUCAGUAGCCGACCUGAGAGGGUGACCGGCCACAUUGGGACUGAGACACGGCCCAAACUCCUACGGGAGGCAGCAGUGGGGAAUAUUGCACAAUGGGGGAAACCCUGAUGCAGCGACGCCGCGUGAGCGAUGAAGUAUUUCGGUAUGUAAAGCUCUAUCAGCAGGGAAGAAAAUGACG
rnacentral:rRNA from 1 species